rnacentral:rRNA from 1 species
GAUUGAACGCUGGCGGCAGGCUUAACACAUGCAAGUCGAGCGGGGGAAGGUAGCUUGCUACUGGACCUAGCGGCGGACGGGUGAGUAAUGCUUAGGAAUCUGCCUAUUAGUGGGGGACAACAUCUCGAAAGGGAUGCUAAUACCGCAUACGUCCUACGGGAGAAAGCAGGGGAUCUUCGGACCUUGCGCUAAUAGAUGAGCCUAAGUCGGAUUAGCUAGUUGGUGGGGUAAAGGCCUACCAAGGCGACGAUCUGUAGCGGGUCUGAGAGGAUGAUCCGCCACACUGGGACUGAGACACGGCCCAGACUCCUACGGGAGGCAGCAGUGGGGAAUAUUGGACAAUGGGGGGAACCCUGAUCCAGCCAUGCCGCGUGUGUGAAGAAGGCUUAUGGUUGUAAAGCACUUUAAGCGAGGAGGAGGUACUUUAGUUAAUACCUAAAGAUAUUGGCGUUACUCCAGAUAAGCACCGGCUAACUCUUGCAACACCGGG